rnacentral:rRNA from 1 species
UACGUAGGGUGCGAGCGUUGUCCGGAAUUACUGGGCGUAAAGAGCUCGUAGGUGGUUUGUCGCGUUGUUCGUGAAAUCUCACGGCUUAACUGUGAGCGUGCGGGCGAUACGGGCAGACUGGAGUACUGCAGGGGAGACUGGAAUUCCUGGUGUAGCGGUGGAAUGCGCAGAUAUCAGGAGGAACACCGGUGGCGAAGGCGGGUCUCUGGGCAGUAACUGACGCUGAGGAGCGAAAACGUGGGGAGCGAACAGG